AUGCCCUGAAGGAGCUGGGGUUUCCGGCUCG
rnacentral:sRNA from 1 species